rnacentral:rRNA from 1 species
GAUGAACGCUGGCGGCGUGCCUAAUACAUGCAAGUCGAGCGAACGGACGAGAAGCUUGCUUCUCUGAUGUUAGCGGCGGACGGGUGAGUAACACGUGGAUAACCUACCUAUAAGACUGGGAUAACUUCGGGAAACCGGAGCUAAUACCGGAUGAUAUUUUGAACCGCAUGGUUCAAAAGUGAAAGACGGUCUUGCUGUCACUUAUAGAUGGAUCCGCGCUGCAUUAGCUAGUUGGUAAGGUAACGGCUUACCAAGGCAACGAUGCAUAGCCGACCUGAGAGGGUGAUCGGCCACACUGGAACUGAGACACGGUCCAGACUCCGACGGGAGGCAGCAGUAGGGAAGCUUCCGCAAUGGGCGAAAGCCUGACGGAGCAACGCAGCGUGAGUGAUGAAGGUCUGCGGAUCGUAAAACUCUGUUAUUAGGGAAGAACAUAUGUGUAAGUAACUGUGCACAUCUUGACGGUACCUAAUCAGAAAGCCACGGCUAACUACGU